rnacentral:rRNA from 1 species
UUACGGGAGGCAGCAGUGGGGAAUUUUCCGCAAUGGGCGAAAGCCUGACGGAGCAAGACCGCGUGAGGGAGGAAGGCUCUUGGGUUGUAAACCUCUUUUCUCAGGGAAGAACAAAAUGACGGUACCUGAGGAAUCAGCCUCGGCUAACUCCGUGCCAGCAGCCGCGGUAAUACGGAGGAGGCAAGCGUUAUCCGGAAUUAUUGGGCGUAAAGCGUCCGCAGGUGGCACUUCAAGUCUGUCGUCAAAGACUGGGGCUUAACCCUGGAAAGGCGGUGGAAACUGAAGCGCUAGAGUGUGGUAGGGGUAGAGGGAAUUCCCGGUGUAGCGGUGAAAUGCGUAGAGAUCGGGAAGAACAUCGGUGGCGAAAGCGCUCUACUGGACCACAACUGACACUCAGGGACGAAAGCUAGGGGAGCGAAUGGGAUUAGAUACCCCGGUAGUCCU